GACGAACUGUGCGAACGUUAUUCGGAAUCACUGGGCUUACAGGGUGCGUAGGCGGCUAUUCAGGUCAGGUGUGAAAGCCCCCGGCUCAACCGGGGAACUGCGCUUGAAACCGAGUGGCUCGAGUCAGCUAGAGGUACACGGAACUUCCAGUGGAGCGGUGAAAUGUGUUGAUAUUGGAAGGAACACCGGAGGCGAAAGCGGUGUACUGGGGCUGGUCUGACGCUGAGGCACGAAAGCCAGGGGAGCGAACGGG
rnacentral:rRNA from 1 species